AACGUAGGACACAGGCGUUAUCCGGAAUUACUGGGCGUAAAGGGCGUGCAGGCGGUUGCGUAAGUUAGGCGUGAAAGACUUCGGCUAAACCGGGGGAGGUCGUCUGAUACUGCGUAACUAGAGUGUGGUAGAGGCGUGUAGAAUUCCGGGUGUAGUGGUGAAAUGCGUAGAGAUCCGGAGGAAUACCAGUGGCGAAGGCGGCACGCUGGGCCAUAACUGACGCUAAGACUCGAAAGCAUGGGUAGCGAACGGG
rnacentral:rRNA from 1 species